CAGGACGAACGCUGGCGGCGUGCCUAAUACAUGCAAGUCGAGCGGACAGAAGGGAGCUUGCUCCCGGAUGUUAGCGGCGGACGGGUGAGUAACACGUGGGUAACCUGCCUGUAAGACUGGGAUAACUCCGGGAAACCGGAGCUAAUACCGGAUAGUUCCUUGAACCGCAUGGUUCAAGGAUGAAAGACGGUUUCGGCUGUCACUUACAGAUGGACCCGCGGCGCAUUAGCUAGUUGGUGAGGUAACGGCUCACCAAGGCGACGAUGCGUAGCCGACCUGAGAGGGUGAUCGGCCACACUGGGACUGAGACACGGCCCAGACUCCUACGGGAGGCAGCAGUAGGGAAUCUUCCGCAAUGGACGAAAGUCUGACGGAGCAACGCCGCGUGAGUGAUGAAGGUUUUCGGAUCGUAAAGCUCUGUUGUUAGGGAAGAACAAGUGCAAG
rnacentral:rRNA from 1 species